UACGUAGGUGGCAAGCGUUGUCCGGAAUUAUUGGGCGUAAAGGGCGCGUAGGCGGAUUGAUAAGUCAGAUGUGAAAUACCAAAGCUCAACUUUGGUGCUGCAUUUGAAACUGUCUCUCUAGAGGAUUGACGGAGAAAGCGGAAUUCCACGUGUAGCGGUGAAAUGCGUAGAUACGUGGAGGAACACCGGUGGCGAAAGCGGCUUUCUAGUUUAGACCUGACGCUGAGGCGCGAGAGCAAGGGGAGCAAACAGG
rnacentral:rRNA from 1 species